GCGCGAGUGGUUUAGUGGUAAAAUUCACCGUUGCCAUCGAUGAGCCCCCCAGUUCGAUUCCGGGCUCGCGCA
rnacentral:tRNA from 1 species